GUAGAGGGCAUGAAGGAGUCAGAGAAAGAAGGGUGGUAUGCGUACUGGAGGCAAGUGUGGGAUACUAACUUUGUGUGAUGGAUCUGUUAACUCACAGAGCUGAGCGUGCGGGAGGACAGUGUAAGGUGGGCAGUUUGACUGGGGCGGUCGCCGCCUAAAGGGUAACGGAGGCGCCCAAAGGUUCCAUCAGAAUGGUUGGAAAUCAUUCGCAGAGUGUAAAGGUAUAAGGGAGCUUGACUGCGAGAGCUACAACUCGAGCAGGGACGAAAGUCGGGCUUAGUGAUCUGGUGGUACUGCAUGGACAGGACAUCACUAAACGGAGAAAAGCAACCCUGGGGAUAACAGGCUUAUCUCCCCCAAGAGUGCACAUCGCCGGGGAGGUUAGGCACUCCGACUGAGGCUGGUCGCAUCAUGGGGCCGACGUCCGGCCCACGGGUAGGGCAGUCCGUCACUU
rnacentral:rRNA from 1 species